rnacentral:rRNA from 1 species
UACGGAGGGUGCAAGCGUUGUUCGGAAUCACUGGGCGUAAAGGGCGUGUAGGCGGUCCGCUAAGUCUGAUGUGAAAGCCCGAGGCUUACCCUCGGAAGUGCAUUGGAGACUGGCGGACUGGAGUCCCGGAGAGGAGGGUGGGAAUUCCUGGUGUAGCGGUGAAAUGCGUAGAUAUCAGGAGGAACACCGGUGGCGAAGGCGGCCCUCUGGACGGUGACUGACGCUGAGACGCGAAAGCGUGGGGAGCAAACAG